rnacentral:rRNA from 1 species
UGCCAGCAGCCGCGGUAAUACGGAGGGGGUUAGCGUUGUUCGGAAUUACUGGGCGUAAAGCGCGCGUAGGCGGCCUGGUCAGUCGGAUGUGAAAGCCCCGGGCUUAACCUGGGAAUUGCAUUCGAUACUGCCUGGCUAGAGUAUGGGAGAGGGAAGUGGAAUUUCCGGUGUAGCGGUGAAAUGCGUAGAUAUCGGAAGGAACACCAGUGGCGAAGGCGGCUUCCUGGCCCAAUACUGACGCUCAGGUGCGAAAGCGUGGGGAGCAAACAGGAUUAGAUA